GACGAACGCUGGCGGCGUGCCUAAUACAUGCAAGUCGAGCGGACCGAACAGGAGCUUGCUCUUGUUCGGUUAGCGGCGGACGGGUGAGUAACACGUGGGUAACCUGCCCGUAAGACCGGGAUAACUCCGGGAAACCGGAGCUAAUACCGGAUAACACCGAAGACCGCAUGGUCUUUGGUUGAAAGGCGGCUUCGGCUGCCACUUACGGAUGGGCCCGCGGCGCAUUAGCUAGUUGGUGAGGUAACGGCUCACCAAGGCGACGAUGCGUAGCCGGCCUGAGAGGGUGACCGGCCGCACUGGGACUGAGACACGGCCCAGACUCCUACGGGAGGCAGCAGUAGGGAAUCUUCCGCAAUGGACGAAAGUCUGACGGAGCGACGCCGCGUGAGCGAAGAAGGUCUUCGGAUCGUAAAGCUCUGUUGUUAGGGAAGAAGAAGCGUCGUUCGAACAGGGCGGCGCGGUGACGGUACCUAACGAGAAAGCCCCGGCUAACUACGUG
rnacentral:rRNA from 1 species